rnacentral:rRNA from 1 species
AUUGAACGCUGGCGGCAGGCCUAACACAUGCAAGUCGAACGAGUGGCGGACGGGUGAGUAAUGUCUGGGAAACUGCCUGAUGGAGGGGGCUAACUACUGGAACCGGUAGCUAAUACCGCAUACCAUCGGAUGUGCCCAGAUGGGAUAGGGUAGUAGGUGGGGUAAAGGCUCACCUAGGCGACGCUCCCUAGCUGGUCUGAGAGGAUGACCAGCCACAUGGGAACGGAGACACGGUCCAGACUCCUACGGGAGGCAGCAGUGGGGAAUAUCGCACAAUGGGCGCAAGCCUGAUGCAGCCAUGCCGCGUGUAUGAAGAAGGCUUUCGGGUGGUAAAGUACUUUCAGCGGGGAGGCGUUACCCGCAGAAGAAGCACCGGCUAACUCCGUGCCAGCAGCCGCGGUAAUUC